CCGAAAACAGGGAUUCCCCUAGUAACGGCGAGUGAAGCGGGAACAGCUCAAAUUUGAAAUCUGGCCCUUGGGUCCGAGUUGUAAUUUGUAGAGGAUGCUUUUGGUGCGGUGCCUUCCGAGUUCCCUGGAACGGGACGCCUUAGAGGGUGAGAGCCCCGUACGGUUGGACGCCUAGCCUCUGUAAAGCUCCUUCGACGAGUCGAGUAGUUUGGGAAUGCUGCUCUAAAUGGGAGGUAUAUUUCUUCUAAAGCUAAAUACUGGCCAGAGACCGAUAGCGCACAAGUAGAGUGAUCGAAAGAUGAAAAGCACUUUGAAAAGAGGGUUAAAUAGCACGUGAAAUUGUUGAAAGGGAAGCGUUUAUCACCAGACUUUUUCUGGGGGGAUCAUCCGGUGUUCUCACCGGUGCACUUCCCCCAGUUGAGGCCAGCAUCGGUUUUCGGAGGGGGAUAAAAGCUUCGGGAAUGUGACUCCCUCGGGAGUGUUAUAGCCCGUUGCAUAAUACCCUUCUGGGGACCGAGGUUCGCGCAUCUGCAAGGAUGCUGGCAUAAUGGUGAUCGUCGACGCGGCCG
rnacentral:rRNA from 1 species